UCGAGUAAAGAGAAAUCAAUUACAUAUAUUUUCUACCUAAAAUUUGGUCUAAACUACUUUAAUUAUCAAUGGGGUGGAGCUAAAGUUAGGGUUUUUGAUGAUGGACGGAAAGAUAUGAUUUAUUGAAUCCAUUGUGGUAGAGCAACAACCGUCUUCUUCCACAAUAUUGGUCAGAGGCGACGAUGGUGGUUCGUUCUAUGCUUAAUUCAUGAAGUGGGAGUAUGGUUCAUUCUAUAUUUGAGCUUUCUAUCUUAGAGAAACUUUUGGAAGGUUUCUAAUAGCAAGUCUGUGUAGUAAAUGUUUUGUAUGCUAUUCUUUGGCUUGUUAGCAUCUUCAUCUAUAAUACAAUCCCCAAAUAAAAUCCCAAUGCUUUUCACUCAUACUUCUCUUCUCCUUUCUAUUCUCAAUUCUCUCAAUUUUAUGAUUUUGCCCUAAUUAAGACAUCGAAAGCCUAGAAGAUGAGUUUUUGAGUUCUCUCCCCCAUGCAUUUUCAAUCAGAAAAUCAAAUUGAGGUAUUUUUUCAAACAUUGAAUUGUUCUAGAAAAUUUUUAGAUGUGUAUUGUAAUAUAUUAGUUUUUUCCUAAUUGGAAUGUAUCGUCAGUAGAGCGUCUUCAAGUUUGGAUUUAAUGUCGUCAACUUUGCUGCCUAUGGCAUCAAUGUGUAUGAAGCUCUGGCAUGCGUUUGUUGGACGGUUGAUUUUGCUACAGUUAUGACAUUAGUCUACUGUAAUUGUUUUUGCGUUUAGGUUUGUUCUUCAUGUUUACUUUUACUUCUCAAGGCAACACAGGAACAAUAUCUUCUAAUCAAAUGGUUGGACUGAGAAUAGGUCCUGAGAUUAACUAUCAAUAGGGUCAUUUGUAGAUUUUCUUGAAUGUUUUAUCCUCAUAUGUUUCCUUAGGUUACUGUUUAAAUUUGUUAAUUUAUAAUUUACUUUGUUUUAAAAUUAUUUGAUGUAUCAAAAAAAUCUCGAAGGUUUGCAUUAUUCAUGUUUAGUUAGUGCAAUUUUACCAUAACCUUCUAUAUGUGUGUCUAGGUGUAUUGUGCAACACCUAACUUCAUUAAAGUACUAAGGAGAAAUUCCGCCACAAGAAUCUUUUCAUUUUUUGGUUCAUGUAAAAAACUUUCACACCUAUGUACAAUCUCAAGUAACGAUUAAUUGUCCAGUUUAAGCUUUCACUGGAAUAUACUACUCUCAUCUAUAUUUUGUGUUACUUUCUAUGCAUAAUUUAUUUCUGGUGAAAGUCUAUACGAUUUUCUGCACAAAAAUAAUAUAAUCCAUAGAAAAUUGAAGACAAACAAUCUCUAAAUGGAUGAAAAAAAAAUAAAUGAAUGAUUUCGAUUUCCUGGUGAUCGACCCUUAUAUGCUUAAUUGUAUAUGUAAAAAUACAAUACAUAUUUCUUACAUAUUGUGCUUUAUAGGUUGUGUAGGUUGUUGAAUUUGGUAUUACUCGCUUACAGGUAGAGUUUAGUGUCAUGACCAUAGAAAUAUGAAAAUGUCGAUGGAUAACUCUCGCAGUCCGUCCUCCCUAUCCCCUUCUUAAAUGGUAUAUCGAUCAUUUUUCUUCCUAUUUAUAGGUUGUAAGAUUCUUGAAAUUUUUUUAAAAAGCUCCAAAAGGGGUAAAUUCAAUAUUACAUGAAUUUGAUUAAGUGCAAUUAAAAUAUCUAUCUUCUUAUUCAAUAUAUCUUUAGUUUAACAUCACAUAAUUUAAAAGUCCUUUUUACUUUCUUCUUCAUUAAGUAAUUUGAAACUUACUUAAAUUAUAAGAGAAGUACUUGUUAUAUUGACAAACAUUUCAAAAAACUGGAUUUUAUGUAAUAAUAUUAUUAUGAAUGCCUUUCUACGUGACUUGUAACUAUAAUUGUAAAAGAAAGAAAGAACAAUGGAAUCUUUGUACAGUAUUUAUGUGAAGAAAAAUUACAUUUUCUUCGAGUUUUAGCUAUAGUGACUUAAACAUGAGUAAGACUACUAUGAGAUUCUGUGUUGUAGAUUUUCAAAGAUGUAUGUGUUUCAAGCAAAGUUGAAAUCAUGUUAAAGCUGGUCAUCAGACAAAUGUACUCAAAGUUAUCGAUUCAUGGUGAGUUUAUUAUUGCUACUUUUCUCAAGGGUGAGUGUGAGAGUAAAGGUACCGGGUACUUUGCACUUUACUUUAUUCAAAUUUGAUAUUUCGUUAUGCUAAAAACGAGGCAUUUUCUUAUUCUUCUCUAUCUUUGGCCAAUAUUAAUGUUGCCUAAUACUAAACUUAAAGUGAUUGUUGUCUCUCUUGUUCUUUGUCAUUGUGUUGUCUUACUACCUUAAUAAAUAAUAUUAGAGAUAUCAAAAUGUUGGGAAACUGGAAUCUUGUUUAAGCACGCCAAGGAAUGAGGAUUGCUCAUUCUAAGGUUGAUAUCUUUUUGUUUUUUUGGUUCGUUAAUAACAAGAUUUGACCAGGCAAGAAGAAAAGAUCAUGAAUGUUUUUCAUUUGUCACCUUGCCAGGCUAUGUGACCAGUGAAUUUUCUUUUCUCGUUUCACGUUUUCUCGAUUUUUUUAUAAACUGAGUUGUGGAACUCAACCGUUCAAUAUUAUAAGUAGUUUGAAGUUUAACAUGAAGUUAGAAAAAUAGAUUUACAUAGCAUAACAGAUGAAGCGCAAUAUUUCAUUUGUAGUGACGUGAAAUAUAAGCUGAAGUGCUUGAUAAUCAUAUCAGUUUGAGGGUUCUUAUAUGGUGGAAAAGAAGAAUGUCAACAUUCUAGUGCACUGAUUCUGCAUAAGGACCAAACCACGUUAGGGGACAAUUGAUGUGGUACUUGCGAGGCUUGUUGCAUCGCUUAAGUUACCUGGGGGGUCCUUAGUUGAGCAUAUGUUCUUGUUCUUUAAUUCUGAAGAAGUCGAUUUCUCCGUGAUUACAGGCUGAAAUUAGUAUAACGGAACAAAUAACACUUGCCAUUUCAAAGAAGGGGAGCCAACUACUGCACCAUUAAGCAAAUUGGUUAUAUCCCAGUCCAUUAUGAACAUAGUUGUUCAGAUACUGUAAGUAACCUUAUCCCUAUGAGAAACUUCUCGAAAUAGAAAAUGUGUGCAGUGUCAAUGCUUCUUGUAACAUUUUUACACAAAUGUACUGUUCCGAGCUUAAACUAAAUUUUGAAAAGCUUGAAAGUCACAUACAAAGCUCCAACACGUUUUUUAUCCUUUUCCAGCAAGGACUCCAAAUACUACCAUGAGAAAUGAGCUAGGCCCUUUCAACUUUUAAGCAGUUUUUCCAUUAGAAGUCAACUCUGUAUUUGCCCUUUUUGCUAGAAUUAUAGAUUCAUAGGCAAUGGCAUGAAGGACUUCCAAAUCCCAAGCUGAUUCAUAGGUAAGAUUCAACAAAGUUUUUGAGUCCAUAACUUUGUAAGGCAUGAAAUAGAGGGAUUAGUAUAUAUGCAUAUUGAACGUAUUUAUCAACCUUUCUUAUUACUCUGCUAGCAUCUUGAAAAGUAAUGAGGGCAUCGGAUAGAGAAAGGAGAAAACUAGAAUUUGAAGAGAUAGAGAAAAUAAGGCAUAGAGUGUUGGAAUCUUGAGAUGAAACAACAUCAGAGAAGCGAUUUAGGAAGUCAGUAAUUCAUAUGUGAGCUUCUCCAAUUCUUAAAUACACUGAACCGUUCUUUUUCUUCAAUCCAAUUGAAGUUUUAUUAUUUUGGGACCAUGCUUAAAUACGCUGAAGCCAUUCUUUCGUCUUUUAUCCAAUUUAAGCUUUUUAUUUUUGAGCAGAAACCCAAAGGGGUUUAUGUCUUACUCCGUGACUCAGAACAACAUGACAACACCCUAUUUCUAAGGCUAAAGUUAUCUCCUUCAAUACCCAUUUAUUGUGUAUUUUAUUUUGCAGCAAGGUUAUGUUCCAUGAACUGUUGCAGGUCCUUUCUUAAUCAUGGAUUGCUAGUGUAGACUUUUCAACAAUAAAAGAAAGAUUAACCAAGAAUUUCUUAGUGAAUUCAAGUUCCUUGUAAUUUUAAUGGUUGGGGUGAACCACAUGUUUCAAUAUAGCUUGUAAAACUUUUUUUUUUUGUGUUUGAAAUAUGUUUUAUUUCUUAAUCCUAAUAUUUCCUUUUACGUUAA